ensembl:ncRNA C04E6.14 ncRNA
AGUCAACUGUUCAAAGUUCAAAAACCUCUCUUGUUCUUGCCGCCAUCCUCCGUUUCAUUUUUUUUCUCACUGGGACACUUGAACGCUAAAACAAUGAAACAUAUAUUUGUUUAUACCUUAAAAGACCUUAAAACUGACCAU